rnacentral:rRNA from 1 species
AUGAACGCUGGCGGCGUGCCUAAUACAUGCAAGUCGCGCGAACAGACGAGGAGCUUGCUCCUCUGACGUUAGCGGCGGACGGGUGAGUAACACGUGGAUAACCUACCUAUAAGACUGGGAUAACUUCGGGAAACCGGAGCUAAUACCGGAUAAUAUAUUGAACCGCAUGGUUCAAUAGUGAAAGACGGUUUUGCUGUCACUUAUAGAUGGAUCCGCGCCGCAUUAGCUAGUUGGUAAGGUAACGGCUUACCAAGGCAACGAUGCGUAGCCGACCUGAGAGGGUGAUCGGCCACACUGGAACUGAGACACGGUCCAGACUCCUACGGGAGGCAGCAGUAGGGAAUCUUCCGCAAUGGGCGAAAGCCUGACGGAGCAACGCCGCGUGAGUGAUGAAGGUCUUCGGAUCGUAAAACUCUGUUAUUAGGGAAGAACAAAUGUGUAAGUAACUAUGCACGUCUUGACGGUACCUAAUGAGAAAGCCACGGCUAACUACGUG